rnacentral:rRNA from 1 species
UACGUAGGGGGCAAGCGUUGUCCGGAUUUAUUGGGCGUAAAGCGCGCGCAGGCGGUCUGCCAAGUUCGGAGUGACAGUUUCCGGCUUAACCGGGAAAGGUCUUCGAAAACUGGUGGACUUGAGGACUUGAGGGGGAGACGGAAUUCCGGGUGGAGCGGUGAAAUGCGUAGAGAUCCGGAGGAAUACCGGUGGCGAAGGCGGCAUCCUGGACCGGCAUUGACGCUGAGGAGCGAAAGCCAGGGGAGCAAACGGG